UACGAAGGGGGCUAGCGUUGCUCGGAAUCACUGGGCGUAAAGCGCACGUAGGCGGCUUCUUAAGUCAGGGGUGAAAUCCUGGAGCUCAACUCCAGAACUGCCUUUGAUACUGAGGAGCUUGAGUCCGGGAGAGGUGAGUGGAACUGCGAGUGUAGAGGUGAAAUUCGUAGAUAUUCACAAGAACACCAGUGGCGAAGGCGGCUCACUGGCCCGGUACUGACGCUGAGGUGCGAAAGCGUGGGGAGCAAACAGG
rnacentral:rRNA from 1 species